rnacentral:rRNA from 1 species
UACGUAGGGUGCAAGCGUUAAUCGGAAUUACUGGGCGUAAAGCGUGCGUAGACGGUUAUUUAAGUCAGGUGUGAAAGCCCCGGGCUCAACCUGGGAAUUGCAUUUGAGACUGAAUAGCUAGGGUGCGGAAGAGGGAAGCGGAAUUUCCGGUGUAGCGGUGAAAUGCGUAGAUAUCGGAAGGAACACCAGUGGCGAAAGCGGCUUCCUGGUCCAGCACCGACGUUCAGGCACGAAAGCGUGGGGAGCAAACAGG